CUCAAUCUAAUCGCUGCCUCAUCUCCACCAAUCUCUGGUGUUGAAAGUGGCUCUCCACCAAUCGUGCCUCAUCUCAAUCCUGUGAUGUUGCGUCCCCAGGAUCUCACCCAUUUGUUCCCCACUGGUCUCGGGUAGGUUCUCAUCUCCUACAAUUUUCUUUGUCCAAGAUUCUAACCUUCGUUUCCUCCUGGACUCGGUGAUGGUUGCAUCCCAGAUUCCUCUCGAUAGCAGGUGAAUUUGCCCUCCUCUAUGCCUUUAAUUUUUUCUCCUUCGUUUCCUCCUAGAUCUAAGUGAUGGUUGCAUCCCGGAUUCCUCUCCAUAGCAGGUAAAUCUGCCCACCUGUACGCCUUUAAUUUUUUUCUAUUCUUGAUACUACAUUGGUGGUUCAGAUUUUAAUCUCAAGUGACAUAUAGAUAUAUGUUUGAUGGGGCGUUGUGCUAUGGAUGCUUAUAUCGAUGCAUUUAUCUUCUAUUAAUUAUUUCAUUGAUGUUCCAGCUCAGCCGUUAAUGUCAAUGGAUACGCAAAAUCUUCCGCACAAAUAUAUCAUCCGAAGAACUUAAUUGUUCACCCGCAAAAAAAAAGAACUUAAUUGUUGGCCCACUCCUAUCAAUUGUGCUUUAUGGUGAAACGGACCAGGCCAUCAAGAAUACACUCCUAGGAUUUAUACAGUGAGAUUUUUUAAGAUGAAGUUACAUUCAGUUUUGUAAGAGUGCAUUUUAUAAUGUUAUGCAAUACUGCGACUUUUCAUAACCAAUCAAUCUGAAAACCAUAUUAUGAUUUUUUUUUCCAUUUUACAAAUACUUUGUACAGCAACACUGCCAAAUACUAUUUAUUUGAUUUUAUAGGCAAGUCAAUAAAGAUAUGAGUAUUCAUGUUUAUAGCCUACUACAGUGAGGUAGUGCCAAGCCUUAGCUGUACUAUACUAACAUUAAAUUUUACAUAAAUGUUAAAUACUGAAGUUCUGGGCACUACCGCAAUGGGAUUUUAUUGUCUCUUCCUUAUGUGGAACCCUUCUCCGGAGAUAACUACUCCCUGUGUUACAUGGUGUGAUAGAUUUUAGAGAAUCAUGCUUGCAGCUUUAUCAUUCAGUAAGGUAUAUUUGAUGGCCCCCUCUAGUAAAAAGAAAAUUCCCCUGUUCCAUUCCAUAUUCCCAUUAUUCGUCGAGAAUUAUAGGGUGCAUAUUUUUAGCAUACUUCUCUUGCCUCCAGAAUGAAAUUUCUAAGAAAAUUGUAAUGUUGUGCCUCUUCUUAACUAGGACUGAUGCAUCCAGCCGAGGAAUAUGAGUGCUAGAUUCUGAGAGGUAACAAAUAGUGUUAGUUUUCAGUAUGAAUUCGCAUAAUCUUUAUGGAUUUUCUUUGCAAUUCCAUGAGUCUGUAUACCCUUUUUUUUUGCCAUCCGCCCAUCCUUUAGGUGUUGUUAUCUGUAGUCAAUUGGUGAAAGAAAUGGAUGCGAUCAUUUGACAUACCAUGGAGUAUAAUUUCCACAUGAGAUUCUCAAAAAAAAAAAUUCCACAUGACAUGCUUAAUAGACUUUUCUACCAUCUGUUAAGUGAUUAUUACCUAAAUUACAGUAACUUCAGUUCACAACAGGUAUACCUUGAUGGACGUGGUGCUACGGAUGCUUAUAUCGAUGAAUUUAUCUUCCAUUAAUUGAUACAUUGAUGUUCCAGCUCAGCCUUUAAUGUCAAUGGGUACACAAAAACUUCCGCAUGAAUAUAUUAUCUGAAGAAUCUAAUUGAUAGCCCGCCCCUAUUGACUGUGCUUUAUGGUGAAACAGAUCAAGCCAUCAAGAAUACAGUCAUAGGAUUUAUACAGUGAAGUUACUUUCAGAUUUUUUUAAGACGUUCAAUCAGUUUAGUAAUACUGUGUUUAUAAUGUUAUUGUUAACUGCAAAUGAUCAUAAUCAAUCAAUCCGACACCAUAUUAAGUUCUUUCUAUUUUAAAAAUACUUGGUACAGAAAAUAGUGCCAAAUACUAUUUUUUUAAUUUUAUAGGCAAGACAAUAAAUAUAUGAGUAUUCAUGUUUAUAGUCUACUAUGUGAGAUAGUGCCAAGCUUUAGAUGUGCCAUAUUGACAUUAAAUUAUACCUAAAUGUUAAAUAUUAGAAAAAGUUUUGGG
rnacentral:lncRNA from 1 species